CGAAUAAAUCUUCAGAUUAUGUGCGUGCUUAUAUAAAUCAAACAUGGCCGCUGUACGCCAUUUUGGAUUAAACUAUCGCUCGCAAUGCGUCGAGCUAUAGUCGUCGCCAUGGCGCUGGCGGUUGUCGCGGUAGUACGGUGUGCAGAUUCGCCCCAGAAAGAUGCGAAUAUGACACUAUCUGACUCAAAAAUCAUAAAAUCUGGUAGUAGAAACAAACGGUAAGUUUUCGA